rnacentral:lncRNA from 10 species
UCGGUGGAAGAGGCUGGGGGUUGAGUGGACGAGCUGCCCAACCCAGCUCAGGAGCGACGGAAAAGUUAUCUGUUCCCUUCUCUUGUGCCCUACAAGUUCUUCCCAGAGCCAUCCGGCCUGCACGAGAAGCGCAAGCAGCGGCGCAUCCGCACCACGUUCACCAGCGCGCAGCUCAAGGAGCUGGAGCGCGUUUUCGCUGAGACCCACUACCCCGACAUUUACACGCGUGAGGAGCUGGCGCUCAAGAUCGACCUCACUGAGGCUCGCGUGCAGGUCUGGUUCCAGAACCGCCGGGCCAAGUUCCGCAAACAGGAGCGCGCGGCCAGCGCCAAGGGCGCGGCGGGCGCGGCGGGCGCCAAAAAGGGCGAGGCGCGCUGCUCCUCCGAGGACGACGAUUCCAAGGAGUCCACGUGCAGCCCCACGCCCGAUAGCACCGCCUCGCUGCCGCCGCCGCCUGCGCCCGGCCUGGCCAGCCCGCGCCUGAGCCCCAGCCCGCUGCCCGUCGCACUGGGCUCCGGGCCGGGACCUGGGCCGGGGCCACAGCCGCUCAAGGGCGCACUGUGGGCCGGUGUGGCGGGCGGUGGGGGCGGCGGGCCUGGCGCGGG